CUCUCACAGCAAACAGUACCAACAGUAUCCGGGCUAACUGAGUCUCAUCCAAUCACGCUCCAGAUAUCUGGGUGGGGUUAUAUAUAUACUGUUUUCCUGACAGAAUCUACAUUUAAUUUUUUAGUUUUUUGUGAAAUAAAAUUCCAAAACCUUGAAGGACAAACUGCUUUUUGAGAUUCCUACAUUGCCUACAAGGGACCACAUACAACAAAGCCUACUAAGGCCAUUUCUCAUCUCUUUUUUCCAUUCAAGACUGAAAAGGAAAAUGAGACCCAGAAGAGUCUGUCCUGAAAAGGAAGCUUUGAAAUUCAUCGCAUCUGGGAAAGAUAAAGACACAUUUCAGUCAAGAGUCAAGAGAAAGAUUGUUGAUGAACAGAAAAGAGCACAUUUGUGUGCAUUUGUGACCACAAACAUCACUAAAGGAGAAGAAAUGAUGUUCGACUGCGGAGAUCCUGACAGCUCAUGGAGACAGGUAGCAGGAUGCUUGGUCCAUUACAGACGGAUGGACAACACCCUCAUCAGACCA